rnacentral:lncRNA from 1 species
GAGACAGACAUGGCCGUUCUUCUUGAGGCCCAGUGAUUGGAUGAGGUUCCAGAGGCAGAGAGAGUGAGAAAAGAAAUGGACCGAGAGCAGGCUAAGUAAUGGAACACCAAACAUGGACAGGUGGGCACGGGAAAAUGGACCUUCGAACAAGGCUGAAAGGCGUAGGAGAAAACUGAAGAGAGUGGAACUUUGGAGCAUAUAUUCUUGGAUACAUGAUUUCAACAAAUCAUUAAAACUGAGUCAGCAUCUUCAGAUUGAUUAUAAUUGCAGGUGUCCUGAGCACAGACCAUGGAAUCUCAAGUGUCUCAGCUCGAGACUCCUUGGGGAAAGCCUUUCAAGACAGGCAGAAUGAUGUCCUUCCUGCCACAACAUAAUUUUCCAGCUGCCAGGGGAAAACUACAUAUUGUGCCCUAAAAAACAACCAAGAGAGAACAGAUAAUAAUCACUCCCCAAGGACACCUGCUGCAGCUUCCCUCAGCAAGGCCUGUAGAAACGGUCCUGAAGUUACACUUCGCUCUGUAUUUUAACAGACACACGACGGAUUCCUGUCCUUACUGGAAUGACUGCCCUGCCUUUUUGCAGGUCAAGAAUAAUUCUGGAAGAAUUACCGUCAAAUAAAAAAAUCAUCAAUGGCUUCAUAUCUUGUUCUGGUGCUAUUAAUGUAAGAGACAUAAUUUAUUAUCCUGAAAUGCUGAAAUUUGAUCUAAAUGGGUCCCUAGAUGGAUGGAUGAGUCAAAUCAAAGAGGAGGAAAGAAACCAAACAGUUGCUGAACAGUCUUGGAAAGUUCCAUGGAACGGUUUGUGUUUUUCAUUAAUCACCAGUUACAGGGGUCGCCCACGGACAUGGCAGUUCUGGAGAUAUGCUGGCUCCCUUGCCCAGAUCUGAAACACACCAGGGGGUGCCUGACUCGGAAGUUUAUAUUCUACGAAAUGUGCUUCUGCAUGGACUGAACAACUGCUUGGCACCCACUUUUCACAUGUGGGGUAUAAAUUACUGCCCUGCCAAAGACAUCCUUUAGGCAUAAUGGCAGUUUCGGCUCUUGCCUGGGUCCUCCCACUCUAGACAUGCACUGGCGAGACCUCUGCAGAUUUUCCAAGCAUCUUAAACGAAGGAAAUUCCAGCUCACCACGUGAAAUCCUCUUGAAGAGACAAGGAAAUAUGGCCCAAGCUGGUGCUGAAAUUAUUCAUCGAAGAAGAUAAAAUUACAGGCUGUAAGGGCUGAAGAAAUCUUGGUGAGAGUUUACACAACUUCUCCCUUUCUGUGGAUGAGGCAAAUUAGGCCUCGGCAAGAUGAACAGAAAUCAGGCUUUAAUUUGUGACUCUGGCAUGAGUCUGCCGGCUCCCCCACUCCUGCAACUGAAAGCAAUAAUGAACUUGAUUUCAUUCACAGAGGCACAAAAUAAAGUCCCUUUAGGCUGCGAUGGCCCUGUUCAUACUCAGCAAAUGCUGGUGCCUAUGUGGGGGCUGCCUGUUCACCAGCUGUACUUAAGGUACCGCGUGUAUCUUCCGGCAAAUCAGAAAUAGUCUGUGUUAUAUGUGGGGGCAGAUUUCACCUACUAGCAUAAAACACUAUCAUAAAUUUCCAAUUCACCCCCCUCCACAGCCCGGAGACAUUCCAUUCUGCAUGUCGCAGGCAACUGCUCGCAAGAAACAUGCACCAUGUGAAAAAGUAAUUACUGCCUUGCCCAAGGAAUGAAACCGAUUCUACCAGCAUGUCUAAGCUUUUACAGAUAACAAGAGAGCAACGCCUUGGCUUACUAAGAGUGCUGCAGUCUUUUUUUUUUUUUUUUUUUAACCUUUUGAAAAUUCAUCCUUGUCUAAUGAUUAAGUAUGGAAAAAAGUGAGUUAAGUACCGCCUGACAGUUUGCUCAAUAGACGCUCUGUAAUAUCACCUCUCCUGGUCUUCUUUGAUAGAGAACCAGCCAGCUGUAUCGACGGCCUCUCUCCCCUCUUUAAUAAGUUGUAAAUUGAGCAACAUAAUUCUUCCCAUGUCCAAGGCUAGUCAGCCCAAAUGCUGUGUUCAGAAACUGGCUGGCUGUAUGUUAUAACCUGUCUGUCAUCACUUUCUUUCAUUAUAGUUCCGUGGUUGCUCUGGGGAGACUUGACCCAUUCACCAGCGAUUCACUUAAUUCGGGUACAUGCUACGUGUCAUUGUGUGUGCGCCAGACGGCAAUGCCACAUUCCCCGACUGUCCUGAGAUGAUCACUGAGCCUGUGAAAGGAUCGGUUUGGGGCUGUGCCCAGGCUCCUUCGACAAGCUCUCUCUUUGCGCAGUUGAUGAGAUUGAUCAAAUCUAUCAGUGUUUGGCCCUUGUGCUGUUAGUUCCCAGAGAUGGCCUAUCCCUGAGUUUUGCAGUUUAGCCUCCUUGGCCUUGUGAAUACAUCUGAAAGGAAUGCUGCUAAGUCUAGCAAAAGAAAAGUCUUUUCAGUGGCUUAUCCGCUAUGAAAGCUGUUCCGAAAUAAAACGGAGAACCUCUUAAAGAGAGGCUGCUUGGUCAUGGUACUGGUCUAAAGAGAACGAUUUCUGCGCCAACCUGAAGGUUGAAAUAUAUCCCAAAACUCCUUCAGAAGCUAAGAUUUGUUGAAACUGUACUCGUUUCGUUCAAUGUAGGGGAACCGAGGGAAGCCUAAUAAUAUACAUGGAAGGUUUUUGUUUUAUGAUCUUUAUUAUUAGUUUUACUCGAAACAGUAAAAAUGUUCUAUCUUG